rnacentral:rRNA from 1 species
AUUGAACGCUGGCGGCAGGCCUAACACAUGCAAGUCGAGCGGAGCGGCGGACGGGUGAGUAAUGCCUAGGUAUCUGCCUGGUAGUGGGGGAGAACGUCCGGAAACGGGCGCUAAUACCGCAUACUAUCAGAUUAGCCUAGGUCGGAUUAGCUAGUUGGUGGGGUAAAGGCCUACCAAGGCGACGAUCCCUAGCUGGUCUGAGAGGAUGAUCAGUCACACUGGAACUGAGACACGGUCCAGACUCCUACGGGAGGCAGCAGUGGGGAAUAUUGGACAAUGGGCGAAAGCCUGAUGCAGCCAUGCCGCGUGUGUGAAGAAGGUCUUCGGGUUGUAAAGCACUUUAAGUUGGGAGGCGUUACCAACAGAAUAAGCACCGGCUAACUUCGUGCCAGCAGCCGCGGUAAUUC